UGCUUUACCAGCUGCACUGGCUCCUGGUGGAGUACAGGAUCAGGUUUAAGGAGAUAUAAAGAAGGUCCCAAAGGACCUUGGCUUAGCUUCUGCCACCUAAACGAAGAGAAUAAAUGCAUACUUUUCCCCAGAA